UUUUCAGUGUCGCAGCGAAAGCGAUAAACACACCGCCUGGGGAGUACGACCGCAAGGUUAAAACUCAAAUGAAUUGACGGGGACCCGCACAAGUAGUGGAGCAUGUGGUUUAAUUCGAAGAUACGCGCAGAACCUUACCAACACUUGACAUGUUCGUCGCGACUCUAAGAGAUUGGAGUUUUCGGUUCGGCCGGACGAAACACAGGUGCUGCAUGGCUGUCGUCAGCUCGUGUCGUGAGAUGUUGGGUUAAGUCCCGCAACGAGCGCAACCCUCACUUUUAGUUGCCAUCAUUAAGUUGGGCACUCUGAAAGAACUGCCAGUGAUAAGCUGGAGGAAGGUGGGGAUGACGUCAAGUCCUCAUGGCCCUUACGUGUUGGGCUACACACGUGCUACAAUGGUAUCUACAACAGGAAGCAAGACUGCGAGGUCAAGCAAAUCCCUAAAAGAUACCUCAGUUCGGAUUGCACUCUGCAACUCGAGUGCAUGAAGCUGGAAUUACUAGUAAUCGUGGAUCAGCGUGCCACGGUGAAUGCGUUCCCGGGUCUUGUACACACCGCCCGUCACACCAUGGGAGUUGGUUCUACCUUAAGGCAAGGUUUUAAACCCUUGACCACGGUAUAGUCAGCGACUGGGGUGAAGUCGUAACAAGGUAGCCGUAGGGGAACCUGCGGCUGGAUUACCUCCUU
rnacentral:rRNA from 1 species